rnacentral:lncRNA from 1 species
AACAUUGCUAAGACAACUCAUGGCCGUUUCUACACUGACCCCUCUGGCCUACGACUUUGGAUGAAUUAUUCUUUGUAUUGAUGAGUUUUCCAUGUGAACCAAGUUUAGCUUCCCACAAUUGGUACUAUGUAUAAUGACUACACACACACACACACACACACACAAGCAUGCACACACAAAACAGCAGUGACAAAAAAGAAAAAUUAAUUCCCCAUGGCAUUUAAAAGGAUAGAAUAUUAUACACUAAACUUAGUCAUAGAUGUCCAAAGCGUGCACCACUGCAGAUGGAAAUAACUGCAAAUGCAUUUGUGCCCAUAUGAACAUUUCAUACUAUUAAAAUGCACACAGUACCAGGAGUUAUCCAGACUCAACGCAAUACUUAUCACAAAUCACAUUGGCAUCUUUGUACAAAUGAAAAAAAAGCUAGCUUGAAAUUCAUAUGGGAUCUCAAAGAACUCAGUGUAGGAUCCCAAAGAAUCUCUGGAUAGCCCUGGUUGUCCUGCAACUUGCUUUGUAGACCAGGCUAGCCCUGAACUCAACAGAUUCACCUGCUUCUGCUUGCUGGGAUUAAAGGCUCAUGCCAUCAUGCCUAGUAUACUUCCAGAUUUUCAAACACAGUAUUAAGCAAUAGCCAUUACAAUGACAUGAUACAAAGCAUGUAGAAAUACAUUCUUUAACAGCUGAAUGCCUUUUAUUUUUGAGGACUUCCUACACUGUUAGCAUCAUUUCCAUGGUGCUCCUCCCCAACACAAUUCCUCCACACAGCCUCUUGAAUUUGUGACUAUGAACUCGUGACGAUGACUGCUUCUAUAUUACUUUCAUACACACCUGCUGAGUCCAGAUAGUGUUGCCUCGAUGGGCCCCAAACUACAGGCUCUCCCUCUCUCAGCCACUGACUACCUGGAGUUCUUCAUCUAGAGCGGGGCCUAAUAGAAUGUUCCUUUAUCCAUGUUCAGUAUUCAUUACAAAAAUGCAAGUCCUAGGGAGAUGGCACUAAAAUGAGUUCUUGGUCAUAAGGAGACACUUUUUGAGGGAUUGAAAAAUGUGCCCAUAAGGCCAGAUUUGGUGGCUCAGCACAUGGGAGACAGAGGCAGGGCAUCUGAUCCCAGGCGAGCUACGUACCGAGAUUCUGCCUUAGAACAAAAUUGACAGAAGACAAAAACAUAAAGUCAAAGCACAACUGUUUCUUUUCUAGCUGCGGAGAUAAAAUACUAGACAAAAGCAAUUUUAGGGAGGGUUUCCUCUGGCUCACUAAGUAGACCUCUUUCAACUACAGUGGAGAAGGGGAUGGGGGA